AUUGAACGCUGGCGGCAGGCCUAACACAUGCAAGUCGAGCGAGCGGCGGACGGGUGAGUAAUGUCUGGGAAAAUGCCUGAUGGAGGGGGAUAACUACUGGAAACGGUAGCUAAUACCGCAUACCAUCAGAUGUGCCCAGAGGGUAUUAGCUAGUAGGUGGGGUAACGGCUUACCUAGGCAACGAUCCCUAGCUGGUAUGCGAGGAUGACCAGCCAAACUGGAACUGAGCCACGGUCCAGCCUCCUACGUGAGGCAGCAGUGGGGAAUAUUGCACAAUGGGCGCAAGCCUGAUGCAGCCAUGCCGCGUGUGUGAAGAAGGCCUUCGGGUUGUAAAGCACUUUCAGCGGGGAGGCGUUACCCGCAGAAGAAGCACCGGCUAACUCCGUGCCAGCAGCCGCGGUAAAC
rnacentral:rRNA from 1 species